rnacentral:rRNA from 1 species
ACGGGAGGCAGCAGUGGGGAAUCUUGCGCAAUGGGCGAAAGCCUGACGCAGCAACGCCGCGUGCGGGAUGACGGCCUUCGGGUUGUAAACCGCUUUCAGCNAGGGACGAAAUUGACGGUACCUGCAGAAGAAGCCCCGGCCAACUA